CAGCCGCCACGGUAAAACGGAGGGGGCUAGCGUUGUUCGGGAUUACUGGGCGUAAAGCGCACGUAGGCGGCUCGGUGAGUUAGAGGUGAAAGCCUGGAGCUCAACUCCAGAAUUGCCUUUAAGACUGCCGAGCUAGCAGGUGAGAGAGGUAAGUGGAAUUCCGAGUGUAGAGGUGAAAUUCGUAGAUAUUCGGAAGAACACCAGUGGCGAAGGCGACUGACUGGACAAGUAUUGACACUGAGGUGCGAAAGCGUGGGGAGCAAACAGGAUUAGAUACCCCAGUAGUCCCUGUCUCUUAUAC
rnacentral:rRNA from 1 species